GGUAUUUACACCUGUGAAACGGUAAUGCAGGUGUCCUAAGUCAAGCUCUGAGAGGACUGAAACCUCCCAUGGAGCAGAAGAGCAAAAGCUCACUUGAUCUUGGUUUUCAGUAUGAAUACAGACUAUGAAAGUGGAG
rnacentral:ncRNA from 1 species